rfam:Astyanax mexicanus Tnplaced_Scaffold2984, whole genome shotgun sequence.
GAUCCUGUGGCUCAGUGGUAGAGCACUGCCUCCCCAGUCAGGAGGUUACUGGUUCAAGACCGGUCAGGAGCU